AAUUUCAGAGCCCAGGUUUGCGGGGCAGCCUGCAGCCUUAACCAAAAAUAGGACAACUGGCUUCUCUGCAGCGUGUCAGGGGAGAGCCCGAAGCAAGUCCCGAGGUGCCGGCGGGCGAUCCCCUUCGAUUAGCGCCGCGCUGCUUUUUGGCCUGAGACGCUCGGACCGACUGCCGAGGCAAAGAGAGAUGCCAGCAGGGACUGCGACCCAGCAGAGACCCAGCCAGUGGGAAUCCUGUCUGCAGAGCUCCUCGAGUCUGUAAAACUGGGUUAGAAAUCUCUUAAGAGGUUUUUGAUUAAUGUAAAUUCCUUUUUUUUUUUUUUAAAUUUUUUUUUCCCCCAGCAAACUAAAGCUUCGGUUUAUAUUCAUGUCCCCUAGAGGCUUAUUUAGUCUGAGAUUUCCUCGCUGAGAAAUAUGCACACAGCUCUUCCUUUUGCUUCCAUUUAAGCAGGAUAGAGCAUCCCAGCGCCCAUCCUUCUGAGGAAGCUGAGACCUCAUCCCACGAGCCAGAGCCACCAGCAUGCAGCACAAGCCACGAGAAGAGCAAGGCAAGCACUCCAGGCAAACUGCUGCAAACUGCAGAAAGGGAGUCAUUUGGAAACUGGGGCAAAAGUUGAAACAGGAUUUAAUUUUAUCUGAGUUGAUUCAUCUGUCCCUAAUUAGUAAUAGCUUCCUAAUGCAUGACGUAAGAAUAUGCAGAGUUAUUAUUAUUAUUUUUUUAAUGAAUAACUUGGCCAGGAUAAAAUAUUGCCAUUCUCAGAUUGUCUCAGAUAGUUCUUUUUAUAUGCCAAUAGAGAUUUGUGCAGUCUAAAAUGAAAAAUACAUGAGAUCCCGUUGUCAUACAGGCUGAAGACUAAAAUUCUGGAUCCUGUCUUGUUCCCAAUUUACUGUA